GAUGAACGCUGGCGGCGCGCCUAACACAUGCAAGUCGAGCGAGAAUUUUAUGAACGAAACUUCGGUCUAGGGAUUAAAAGGAAAGCGGCGGACGGGUGAGUAACGCGUAGGCAACCUGCCCCAUACAGAGGGAUAGCCUCGGGAAACCGGGAUUAAAACCUCAUAAUGCGAGAGAUUCACAUGGACCUUUCGCCAAAGAUUUAUCGGUAUGGGAUGGGCCUGCGUCUGAUUAGCUAGUUGGUAAGGUAACGGCUUACCAAGGCAACGAUCAGUAGCCGACCUGAGAGGGUAAUCGGCCACAUUGGAACUGAGACACGGUCCAAACUCCUACGGGAGGCAGCAGUGGGGAAUAUUGCACAAUGGGCGAAAGCCUGAUGCAGCAACGCCGCGUGAGCGAUGAAGGCCUUUGGGUCGUAAAGCUCUGUCGGAAGGGAAGAAACAAAUGACGGUACCUUCUGAGGAAGCCCCGGCUAACUACGUGCCAGCCGCCGCCGUAAAAC
rnacentral:rRNA from 1 species